GACAAAAGACAUGGCCGCCAUGUUGGGUGACAUGACAAAAGAAACCAAGACCAAAUCUUUUGUUCAAGUCAACCAAAAUGGCCACUAUGACGUCACAUGCACCAAAAGAUUUUUUAAAUAUUAUCCUGGAAAAAUGUGGAUGUGACAUUACAAUGGGUUCCUGUGAUUUGCCAACAGUGGUACUUAGAUUGACAARUCACAAAGGGAGAAAGAAUGUUGCUCAAAGUUUAAAAUGCCCUAUCACUUGAUGCGACAUUUUCUAGAUACGUAGCCAAUAUUAAGCAGGUUCAUGUAAGAGUAGAUGCAUAUCACUGGGACAAGAUCAAGUGUCCGUAAUAACAGGGUGUCCGUAUUAAGCAGGUUCAUGUAAGGGUUCAUGCAUAUCACAGUUCAAAAAAAAAUUUGUUAAAAAAUAUAUGUAAAAAAAAAAAACAAAUACAAAACCAAAAUAUUAAA